UUUUUCUUUCUUUUUGUCUUUUCUCUGGGAGGCUGGCUUAUCAGGGUCCUUGAAAUGUGGUCCUGGAAGAGCUGGAGUUGAGGAGUUCACAUUACUACUGUCUGCUUAGGGUUCUUUAGGAUGGGGGGUAGUGUUCGUGGGAAGGCUUUAUCAGAAAAAGGCAGAAAAAGAGCAGAGUGCAGUCUGACUAAGAGUCAGCUCAGCUCUUACACACAGGCUUCUUUUAUCCCUUAUCUGUAGAGUUGAAUGUAGAAGGGGGUCCCUAGAGGGAGUCGAAGAAACUAAUUUUUGCAUAGGGCAAAUCUAGGAGUUGCUCCCUCAAUUGGCUACCAGCUGGGGCCAGAAUAAAAGUUAACUGUUCUGUUGUUUCCCAGGAACACCAGCCUUGAAGCAUUCCAGAGGGUGGACACAGUUUGGUUUCUGGCCUGCUUUUUCCCACCAGCUGUCUCCCAGAAUGGCUGUACUCUUGCCAGGGCCAUGGAGAUUUCUUUCCCAGGGCCUGAAUCCAGUCUUAACAGACAUAAGCGAAACAAGAAGAUGAGUUGGUAGGCUCCGUGAUUGGCCUGAUUACUUAAGAAGAAAGGUUCUCUCAUGCAAUAGGCCGUUUAAGAUCAUGCCCAAGGAAGAAGUACACAUGAUUACUUCCAAUUUUAUGGGUCUUGCUCUGUUGCCCAGGCUAGAGUACAGUGUCAUCAUCAUAGC